CUUGUUGUUAAAUUCUAGUCUUAUCUGUUGUUUUUAAGUUUGUUUCUGCAAUUUAGGCUAACCCUGCUUAUUCCUGUGAAUCAACCAGUGAUCUCUGACUGUUGCUCAGAAGAAACAAGAGGUAUUGGGGAACCUGCCCCAAUAUUCACAUAUCACCUUUCGUCAAAACUCAAGACUUAUUAAUGGACUUACCACACUGAUGCUUUCUGACUGAGCUCCUCUCUACCCUGA
rnacentral:lncRNA from 1 species